GCGUGGGUGAUGAAGGUCUUCGGAUCGUAAAGCCCUGUCAGUGGGGAAAAAUGCGUUAAGCAUCAGAUCCUUAACGUUGAUGGUACCCGCGAAGGAAGCAACGGCUAACUCCGUGCCAGCAGCCGCGGUAAUACGGGGGUUGCAAGCGUUGUUCGAAAUUACUGGGCGUAAAGGGCGCGUAGGUUGUGGCGUAAGUCUCGUGUGAAAUCCCCAAGCUUAACUUGGGACGGUCACGGGGUACUGUGUCACUAGAGUUCGAGAGAGGAAAGCGGAAUUCCCAGUGUAAUGGUGAAAUAUAU
rnacentral:rRNA from 1 species